AAGUAAUUCAAUUAUCUCCCAGGACAGACACAAGACUCCAUUAUGCACAUGGUGAGCACAAAGCAUUAAAAUAUUAUAAAAUACACAAAGUCACAUUUUAUACAUAAAACACAGACAUGUCACAUAUCCCCAGAUAGCUGGGAUCUGAGCGCAAAAAAAUACAGAAUAGCGCUCAGAUCCUAUUCACACAGUUCAAUUGCCAUGGAGCCGAAGUCUUUAACUACACGAAUGGGCUCCAUGGUAUAGCUAUCUGGGUUAACACAUUCACAUAAAGUCUGGUCCAUAGUCCAAAGGCAAGAGGCGGGCAAGCAGCCCCCUCCAAGGACACGUGGCGAGGCCGGUUUCGCCACAACAAUUUUCAUAAGAAAACCCAUUAAUGUAUAUGGUAAUCUUUAAUAUCUUGGCUCAUGAUUUAACCUGCUUUGCUCGAGGAGAAAGGAGAAAGAAUGUCACUGUGUAGAGUUAGCAUAGACACUUCCUGUAGAUAGCGUUGAAAAAAACUGGUUUGACUAGCCAACCAACUGAGAUUUUUAUGAAAUUUUUAUGCACAGGUUAUAAUAAAUAAUUUGAAAUAAUUUAGCUGUUAUUAUAUUGAAAAUAAGUAAUGCACCUACGCAUUUCGCAAAUGCAGCUGCAGCUUCUUUAUCAAUUUUCUUUAACAAUUUUCUUUAAUUAUGAGUAGUGAUGUCCCGAACUGUUGGCUGAACAGUUCACGAACGGUUCGCCACGGGCUCAUCAUUGAGUAAACUUUGACCCUGUACCUCACAGUCAGC